rnacentral:rRNA from 1 species
UUGAGUUUGAUCCUGGCUCAGAUUGAACGCUGGCGGCAGGCCUAACACAUGCAAGUCGAGCGGAAACGAUGGAAGCUUGCUUCCAGGCGUCGAGCGGCGGACGGGUGAGUAAUGCAUGGGAAUCUGCCCGAUAGUGGGGGAUAACCUGGGGAAACCCAGGCUAAUACCGCAUACGUCCUACGGGAGAAAGCAGGGGAUCUUCGGACCUUGCGCUAUCGGAUGAGCCCAUGUCGGAUUAGCUUGUUGGUGAGGUAAUGGCUCACCAAGGCGACGAUCCGUAGCUGGUCUGAGAGGAUGAUCAGCCACAUCGGGACUGAGACACGGCCCGAACUCCUACGGGAGGCAGCAGUGGGGAAUAUUGGACAAUGGGCGAAAGCCUGAUCCAGCCAUGCCGCGUGUGUGAAGAAGGCCCUCGGGUUGUAAAGCACUUUCAGUGGGGAAGAAAGCCUUGGGAUUAAUACUCCCGAGGAAGGACAUCACCCCAGAGAGACCG